AAAACAAACAACAUUUUGACGUGAAAAGCUCCUGGAUCUUCUUAUUUUGGGAACUUCCUCUUAACCUUCCUGCCUCUAACCUCCUCUAAUCUCUUUAUAUAUACAUUCACCUUCUUGCUUCCUGCUUACCAACUAUAUAUAUUGCUUGGUGCUCGACAUGGUGGAAUAUUAUGAGUUUGGUGUACUAGAACAAGAGUUUCACCAUUUUUUUGCGGCCUUUUUCUUGGAUUUUCCUUGAUGUCGUCUAGGUGAAUGGCCUUUGGAGAACCUUGUCUCUGCUGAAGAAUUAACUCGGCGUACAUGGGAAAGCCAGGCAUUUUUUUUUUUUUUGUUUUUCUUCAGUAGUAUUUUCUUUUUCUCUUCUCUCACAAUUUUUCUUAUAUAAUGUAUUCCGUUAAGUUACGGAUAGAUAAUGGAUUUUUCUUAUAUUGUAACGGAGCUGCACUACUAGAAAAAGUGGAAUAGACAUCACACUUCAGACAUCAGUUAGAAUUGCCACUGAUGUUAAAAAUGUUUUUAACAUCAUUUUCACUUAAACUGAUGUGUUAAAGUGCUUUAGACAUCAGUUAUUUAUGCAACUGAUAUGUAAGGUACAUGUUUAAAAAAAGUUUCCACCAUUCCCACCCCCAUUUCCCCCUUAUCAAAAAUUUCCCUCCCUUAUAAAAUUUCAACUUCCCUCCCUUAAACAAAUUUCAUCUCCCUCAAUAUUCAUAACAUAAAACUUUGAAAUAAAAUCACUACAAACACAUACAUAUAAAUAUUUAUAUAAAUCAAAAUCAUUAAAAUACCAAAUCAUAUAUAUAUUUCUAAUUUUAAAAUAUUAAAAAACAUUAAAAUACACAAAUCAUAUAUGUUAUAACUUUAAAAUUAUAAAAAUAAAUAUUAAAAAUUAUAAUUAUUCAACUAAGUUAAAAUAUUAAACUAAUUAAAAAUACUCCCACACACACAUAAAUUAUAAUCACCCAACACAUUACAAAUAUAAAAUUACAUAUCUAACAAAAAUAUAAAAUUAAAGCAUAUAUAUACUAAACCAAAAUCAUAACUAAAGACACAUUCACACACACUCAAUCACUAGUUUAUAAAAAAAACGACCCGACAUAUCAAAGCUCAAGAACCCUAAAAUCCUCCUGACAAGAAAUCCCUCUACGUCCCACGAUUCCGUCCCAAUUCAGGCGCUUCAAAAGCUAUAAAUCCUCGAUCCCGUCCCACCUCAGUCCCUUGAUGUCGUUCCCCUGCAUCUCUCUGGUCGCUGCUCAGGGUCAAGGACUCAAAGCUUCAGUUUAAUCAGUGGACUGGGAGCUUAAUUAUUAAGUUGGUAAUCUUUGAAUGAUGUAUACAUGAUGUAUUUAUUUGUUUAUUGGGGUUCUUAUUGUGCUAUUAUAUAUAUAUAUGAUGAUCCUUGAUUUUGGGGUUCUUUAUAUGAGGGCUUCUGAUUUUUAGGGCUCUGCUUGUGUUUUAUAUCUCUUAAGAUUUUAUUGAUUUGGUUUGCUUAUGGUUUGUUUAUGAUUCUGAUGGUUUGGAUUUUAGGGCCUUUUGGUUAUGGUCUGCUUAUAUAUCUCCUUAUGGUUUGCUUGUGAUUCUUCUGGUGUGCUUGUAUAUGUAUGUCUUUGUGGUUUGCGGGUGUGGAAGUAUACUUGAUAAAAAUUAGUGUUGCAACAAAUGAACUGAUAUUAGUAGAAUACAGCAAAUUUAGGGUUAGUUUUGACUGGAAGUAGAGAUACUUGUAUAUAUGAUUAUAUUAACUUAAUAGUUUUGACUGGAACUAUACUUGCUAGUGCCCAAGCUUCUUCAGCAAAUGGGUGGACAAGAGUUAUUGUUGAGAAGCCAUUUGGCCCUGAUUCCAAGUCAUUUUCCGAACUUACUAGAUGUCUAAAGCAGCACUUAGCAGAGGACCAUAUAUUCAGAGUUUCGCUUUGGCAUGAAAACUUCGGGCUACCUCCAUGUGGCCAGCACUUCCUCUUUCUGCAAAGAUAUAUCGAAAACAGGAGUUUUAGAAGAUAUGUUUCCGGACUGUCACCAAGGAAAUUUAUAAUCCAUGGAAAAAGCUAGGAUAUCUGAAUUUCUAAAUUUUAGCCCUAGCUAAAGAGAGAUUCAUUAUCAGCCCUGUUUGCCAAUCUCGGUUUUAGAUUUUGAAGUUUAUAUUUGUUAGAAUUUUUUAGAAACCACAUAUAAUGUGCGCUUCUUUUAUAGAAGUUGGUCUGUUACAAAAUAUUUUUCACUAGAUCGCUGGAUGUAUCUCUUGGUUUCUUGCUUUUAAUUAAGCCCUGUGAUAUUAUGUUUCUAUCAUACUUUGAUGAGAUGCAGGUACUUAAUUCAGUUGAGCCCAGUUGGGAACAGUUUCUUGAACAGACCAACUCAGCACUAGCUGAAAGUUGAGAAAUAUAGCAAAGAAGUUAAAGAAGAAUAUUUCUUCCAUAGCUUUCCUCUGGUUAAUGAAGCUAUUGGUCAAGCUAUGAAGCCUGUUGGAGCCUCCCAUCCUGUGAAGCUUAUCACUUAUGUUCCAGAUGCACAUGAGGAUGAUGAAUAACACCCUCCUGAAUGUGGAUGGAUUACAAGACGGAAGCAUUCAUUAUUGUACUAGCAUUGGCUUGUGGGAGUGGUUGCACGUUGAAAAUCAAUAUAUGGAUGUAGUACAUACUUGAUAUUUAGAUUAGAGGGAUGUGUAGUAGUUGAUCGAUAUUGGAUUUGAUGGAUGUGAUAUUGGAUUUGAUGGAUGUUUAGUAGGUGAGAUUGGAAUUUGAUGGAUGUAUAGAGUACAAUUGGUUUAUAUAUGCAUUAAUAAGAUUUAGUUGUUGAUUU